UACAGGUCCUUGCAAAUGGCGGAACCUUCUAAAGUCAUUCACGUUCGCAUCGUUGGCCAUGAAAUUACUGAAAUUGAUUUACUUCAACUUUUCCAUCCAUUUGGAGUGAUAACAAAGCUUGUAAUGCUCGGUGCAAAGAAUCAGGCUCUUCUCCAAAUGGAAGAUGUUCCUUCAGCCAUAAACGCAAUGCAGUAACACUAAUGUUCAACCAGCUAUUAGGGGGAGGAAUGUGUAUGUUCAAUUCUCAUCACAUCAAGAACUAACAACAAUGGAUCAGAAUGCUCAAGGACGAGGUGAUGAGGUUAGUAAAUUAGCAUACUAUCAUGUAGUGGAUGCAAGAUGGAAUGCAGUUGUAGGCUUUUGUAUAGAAAAAUAUUUUGAAUGAGUCCAUUAGUGUGUAAUAAAAAUUCAAUAAUGAUUAAAAGUAGGAUGGGUCGAGAAGAUAUUAUUAUGGAUAUGUUUAUGAAAAUUUUAAGUAAUUUAUAUAUUUUAUUAA